rnacentral:pre_miRNA from 1 species
AAAAGAAAGCGAUGUUGGUGAGGUUCAAUCCAAAGACGGAUUUACGCGUAAAUUCGAUCUUAAGAUUGAGCCGCGCCAAUAUCACUUUCGUUUAG